rnacentral:other from 1 species
UUCCUGGAAUGUUCGACACUCUUACCUUUUUUGAACCUACAUUAUGACCUACGGGAUUCCAAUAUUUUCAGGUGGAUGUCAGGCCUCCGUAUUGAGUGGAAGGCAGAAGCCUGAGUGAGGUUGCCCACCUAGCACAGCUAGGCGUCAAUUAGUAAGAACCGGCAUUUCGGGUAU